GCGUUCCCCUGUAUUUUUCCUCUUAUCAAGCCAAGUUGAGUAUUUGAUUCGCUCUGCUUAUGUGAUAAAAUUGACAUUGCUCCCACCUUUGGAAAUGACAUUUAUUUCUUUUUCUUUAUGCAGAAGUCCCCGAAAUUUUUUGAAGGACCGGAUAUUCCCCGCAUUGAUCUCUCAUUUGGUGCUCUGGAAGAAAACUUGAGUUGUUUUAAUGAAACCCUCAAAUCACAGAGACGUGCCGAUUUUCUUUCGGAGAAGAGACUUAGGCAAUGGCUUGGGUCUUGAGACAUGUUGGAGUUUUGCGUUCAAAGCAAGACCUAUGGGGAAACUUGUUCGUAUCAGUUAUCUUCACACUGAAAAGCAGCUAUAGAAAACAGUCCUGGAAAUAAUGAUUGCUUACCUUGAAUCUUUCGCGAUUAAAAUAAAUAUUAUAAGUAAAUGAGAAGGCGAACAUGCCUCAUCAAAAGAUGGGCAAAAAACUUGCCCAAACAAUGCUCAAAUAUGAAAUCACACUUCAUUAACAUUAUUAGUUCUCACGAAAUUAGCAAAAAUAAAUAAUUUGUCGUUUUUGGCUGUGUAGUCUUUUGUAAAUUUGGCUUUAGUUUGUAAUCUUUUUUUGCAAAUAAAUGACUUUUUUUUAUGUUACAGUUGACGA